GAUGAACGCUGGCGGCGUGCUUAACACAUGCAAGUCGAACGGAAAGGCCUCUGCUUGCAGGGGUACUCGAGUGGCGAACGGGUGAGUAACACGUGGGUGAUCUGCCCUGCACUUCGGGAUAAGCCUGGGAAACUGGGUCUAAUACCGGAUAGGACAAUGGUUUGGAUGCUGUUGUUGAAAGUUUUUCGGUGUGGGAUGAGCUCGCGGCCUAUCAGCUUGUUGGUGGGGUAAUGGCCUACCAAGGCGUCGACGGGUAGCCGGCCUGAGAGGGUGUACGGCCACAUUGGGACUGGGAGAGGGCCCAGACUCCUACGGGAGGCAGCAGUGGGGAAUAUUGCACAAUGGGCGCAAGCCUGAUGCAGCGACGCCGCGUGGGGGAUGACGGCCUUCGGGUUGUAGACUCCUUUCGCUAGGGACGAAGCGUUUUUGUGACGGUACCUGGAGAAGAAGCACCGGCUAACUACGUG
rnacentral:rRNA from 1 species